GAUGAACGCUAGCGACAGGCUUAACACAUGCAAGUCGAGGGGCAGCGGGGCGGCAGGCUUGCCUGCCGUUGCCGGCGACCGGCGCACGGGUGAGUAACACGUAUGCAACCUGCCCGUGGCAGGGGGAUAAGCGGGGGAAACCCCGUCUAAUACCGCGUAACGCGGCCUAGGGACAUCCCAAGGCCGCCAAAGGGAGCAAUCCCGGCCACGGAUGGGCAUGCGGCGCAGUAGCGAGUCGGCGGGGUAACGGCCCACCGAGGCAACGAUGCGUAGGGGUUCUGAGAGGAAGGCCCCCCACACUGGUACUGAGACACGGACCAG
rnacentral:rRNA from 1 species